ACGGUAACAUUUCUAGCUUGCUAGAAGAUGACGAGUGGCGGACGGGUGAGUAAUGCUUGGGAACUUGCCUUUGCGAGGGGGAUAACAGUUGGAAACGACUGCUAAUACCGCAUAAUGUCUUCGGACCAAACGGGGCUUCGGCUCCGGCGCAAAGAGAGGCCCAAGUGAGAUUAGCUAGUUGGUAAGGUAACGGCUUACCAAGGCGACGAUCUCUAGCUGUUCUGAGAGGAAGAUCAGCCACACUGGGACUGAGACACGGCCCAGACUCCUACGGGAGGCAGCAGUGGGGAAUAUUGCACAAUGGGGGAAACCCUGAUGCAGCCAUGCCGCGUGUGUGAAGAAGGCCUUCGGGUUGUAAAGCACUUUCAGUUGUGAGGAAAAGUUAGUAGUUAAUACCUGCUAGCCGUGACGUUAACAACAGAAGAAGCACCGGCUAACUCCGUGCCAGCAGCCGCGGUAAUACGGAGGGUGCGAGCGUUAAUCGGAAUUACUGGGCGUAAAGCGCACGCAGGCGGUUUGUUAAGCUAGAUGUGAAAGCCCCGGGCUCAACCUGGGAUGGUCAUUUAGAACUGGCAGACUAGAGUCUUGGAGAGGGGAGUGGAAUUCCAGGUGUAGCGGUGAAAUGCGUAGAUAUCUGGAGGAACAUCAGUGGCGAAGGCGACUCCCUGGCCAAAGACUGACGCUCAUGUGCGAAAGUGUGGGUAGCGAACAGGAUUAGAUACCCUGGUAGUCCACACCGUAAACGCUGUCUACUAGCUGUGUGUGCCUUUAAGGCGUGCGUAGCGAAGCUAACGCGCUAA
rnacentral:rRNA from 1 species